rnacentral:piRNA from 1 species
UAUUUAUUGCCCACAGUCUCCUCUCUC